rnacentral:rRNA from 1 species
AAUGAACGUUGGCGGCGUGGAUUAGGCAUGCAAGUCGUGCGGAAAGGCUCCUUCGGGAGUACUCGAGCGGCGAAAGGGAGAGUAACGCGUGGAUAUCUACCCCCUGGACUGGGACAGAGGCGGGAAACUGCCGGUAAUACCAGAUAAUGGCUGCGGACCAAAGGUGUGAUUCCGCCGGGGGAUGAGUCCGCGUCCUAGUGGCUAGUUGGUGGGGUAACGGCCUACCAAGUCAAAGGUGGGUCCCGGGUGUGAGAGCAUGGCCCGGCUCACUGGGACUGAGACACUGCCCAGACGCCUACGGGUGGCUGCAGUCGAGAAUCUUCGGCAAUGGGCGAAAGCCUGACCGAGCGACGCCGCGUGCGGGAUGAAGGCCUUCGGGUUGUAAACCGCUGUCAGAGGGGAGGAAAUGCAUGAGGGUUCUCUCUCAUGUUUGACCUAUCCUCAGAGGAAGUACGGGCUAAGUUCGUGCCAGCAGCCGCCGUAACAC